GACGAACGCUGGCGGCGUGCUUAACACAUGCAAGUCGAACGGAAAGGCCCUGCUUUUGUGGGGUGCUCGAGUGGCGAACGGGUGAGUAACACGUGAGUAACCUGCCCUUGACUUUGGGAUAACUUCAGGAAACUGGGGCUAAUACCGGAUAGGAGCUCCUGCUGCAUGGUGGGGGUUGGAAAGUUUCGGCGGUUGGGGAUGGACUCGCGGCUUAUCAGCUUGUUGGUGGGGUAGUGGCUUACCAAGGCUUUGACGGGUAGCCGGCCUGAGAGGGUGACCGGCCACAGGGGGACUGAGGUACGGCCCAGAAUCCAACGGGAGGCAGCAGUGGGGAAUAUUGCACAGUGGGCGGAAGCCUGAUGCAGCAACGCCGCGUGCGGGAGGACGGCCUUCGGGUUGUAAACCGCUUUCGCCUGUGACGAAGCGUGAGUGACGGUAAUGGGUAAAGAAGCACCGGCUAACUACGUG
rnacentral:rRNA from 1 species